UUGCUUAGGCAUUCCUGGAGCUCCCCAAGGCCGCAUUUGUUGGGGCACAGUGGGUAUAAGAAGUAAACUACAGCCAUUAUGUGUUUUAACAUCUGGUUGUUCUAUACUUCGGCCCAGUAGGUCUUGUCUCUUAUGACUUUUAUUCUACUUCAAAAUUCACAUGCAUAUCGUUUUUCCAAAUCCUGCACUCCCGACCAUGGCAUUUCUACCAAUCUUCAACAUUCGCUCUAUUCGACCGAAUUCUCUCCAGGGUCUGGAAUUCUUAUACGUUCCAUUGCAUUAUAGUGUGCACGUUACUAAGACUUUAAUUUCGGCCAUCGGUAACUUCUUGUACCGCCUGUGGUCGCCACCCUUGAGGAGAAGUUGUUGAUCCCAAGUUCAUGCUGCAUUUUGUAAGAAUGGUAUUUUAAAAUUUCUUUAACUGAUUUAUUAUAGUGCCACAGUUGCAGAAAAGCCUUAGCAAAGAAGAGGUUAAGGAGGUUAAAGCAGCCGCGGAUGCAGCAGAUGAAGAAGAUGUUAGCCCAAGCGAAUGCAGAAGUAAAGUACGAAGACGACA